GGCACUGAUGAUACUACUUGUGACAUGGUUCGGCGAAGAGAGGGACUGCCUCAUUCUGAGGAAAGAUCCAUUUCUAACUGCUGCUGAAGUCGAGGAGGACCUGCCACUCUCUCCUUGCAUUAUAGCACUGGGGGAUGAUCUGUGGACUGCCCACGAGUACGCACUCAGCAUUGAUGGCAGGCUCAUGGUUCAGAAGAUACCAGACGUCCCUACGGCAUGGGCUGCACUCUUCGCGAGCCACUAUUGCUUUAACAUCUGCUACGCUGAAGGCCUGUCAUCGACCCUUGAGUUCCUUCAGAGAGGUUUCCUGAGCAUGAACCCUGACCGUGGCACCAGAGCCAAGCGCUCCAAGUCGGAAGUGAACAAGAAAGUACUUAACCUGGUCAAGAAAAUAGCAGAGCUGGAGUGGAAUGUGUGAGGCUGUCGGUCAUCUUAUGUGGGAACGAGGCAUGCAACAUGGGGCUCGGGCUCAUUCAACACAAGGUCUUGGCACCAGGAAGAUUUCAGCAGCCAUAAGCAAUGGCACUUGGGUCCAAAUUUGAUCAGAGGGUAUAUGGACCUGG